rnacentral:snRNA from 1 species
UAGCUGGAUUCGGCAGCAUUUAUAGUAAAACUGGGAAAAUACAGAGAUUAGCAGGGCCCCACCCAAGAAUAGCAUGCAAAUUCCUAACGCACUCCAUGUUUAA